UACGUAGGGUGCAAGCGUUAAUCGGAAUUACUGGGCGUAAAGCGUGCGCAGGCGGCUUCUCAAGUCAGGGGUGAAAGCCCAGAGCUCAACUCUGGAAUUGCCUUUGAGACUGAGUGGCUUGAGUACGAGAGAGGUGAGUGGAAUUCCCAGUGUAGAGGUGAAAUUCGUAGAUAUUGGGAGGAACACCAGUGGCGAAGGCGACUGUCUGGACGGCACCUGACGCUGAGGCGCGAAAGCCAGGGGAGCAAACGGG
rnacentral:rRNA from 1 species